rnacentral:rRNA from 1 species
GUGGAUUAGAUACCCUGGUAGUCCACGCCGUAAACGAUGAGUGCUAGGUGUCACGGGCUUUGACCCUCGUGGUGCCGAAGCUAACGCGUUAAGCACUCCGCCUGGGGAGUACGGCCGCAAGGCUAAAACUCAAAGGAAUUGACGGGGGCCCGCACAAGCGGUGGAGCAUGUUGUUUAAUUCGACGCAACGCGAAGAACCUUACCUGGGCUAGAAAACACGAGAAUCCGGGCGAAAGUUCGGAGUGCCUUUCGGGGAACUCGUGGUUAGGUGCUGCAUGGUCGUCGCCAGCU